rnacentral:rRNA from 1 species
UUUGAGCUGAGACGUGAAUACGAGACGCUAAGGCGUCGAAGUAGUGUAUGUCAGACUUCCAAGAAAAGCUCGCACUGUCAUAGGUAAAAAAUGCCUGUACCAUAACCGACACAGGUGGGUAGGUAGAGUAUACUAAGGGGCGCGAGAUAACUCUCUCUAAGGAACUCGGCAAAAUGACUCCGUAACUUCGGGAGAAGGAGUGCCUUAUUUAUAAGGUUGCAAUAACAAGAUCCAAGCAACUGUUUACCAAAAACACAGGUCUCCGCUAAGUCGUAAGACGAUGUAUGGGGGCUGACGCCUGCCCAGUGCCAGAAGGUUAAAGAAGUUGGUUAGCAUUAGCGAAGCUGAUAACUGAAGCCCUGGUGAACGGCGGCCGUAACUAUAACGGUCCUAAGGUAGCGAAAUUCCUUGUCGGGUAAGUUCCGACCCGCACGAAAGGCGUAACGAUUUGGACACUGUCUCGGAGAGGGACUCGGCGAAAUAGACAUGUCUGUGAAGAUGCGGACUACCUGCACCUGGACAGAAAGACCCUAUGAAGCUUUACUGUAGCUUGAGAUUGACUUCGGGCUUUAUUUGCGCAGGAUAGGUGGGAGGCUAAGAGCAUACUUUUAUGGAAGUAUAGGAGCCGAUGGUGAGAUACCACUCUUGUAAA